GAUGAACGCUGGCGGCGUGCCUAAUACAUGCAAGUAGAACGCUGAAGGAAGGAGCUUGCUCUUUCCGGGUGAGUUGCGAACGGGUGAGUAACGCGUAGGUAACCUGCCUGGUAGCGGGGGAUAACUAUUGGAAACGAUAGCUAAUACCGCAUAACAGUAGAUGUUGCAUGAUAUCUACUUAAAAGGUGCAAUUGCACCACUACCAGAUGGACCUGCGUUGUAUUAGCUAGUUGGUGAGGUAACGGCUCACCAAGGCGACGAUACAUAGCCGACCUGAGAGGGUGAUCGGCCACACUGGGACUGAGACACGGCCCAGACUCCUACGGGAGGCAGCAGUAGGGAAUCGUCGGCAAUGGACGGAAGUCUGACCGAGCAACGCCGCGUGAGUGAAGAAGGUUUUCGGAUCGUAAAGCUCUGUUGUAAGAGAAGAACGAGUGUGAGAGUGGAAAGUUCACACUGUGACGGUAUCUUACCAGAAAGGGACGGCUAACUACGUG
rnacentral:rRNA from 1 species